GGAAAUUCGACUUCAUAUUCUUAUUCGUGGGGUCAAAUUGAGUAGGAAAUGGGUCUAACCCGAAUUUUAGAACAAUCGUAUCAAAAUUCGAAAAUCGCAAAAAAUGUGAUUUUCAGGGUCAACUUUAAAGGGGCAUAUCUCUUAGCACACAAGGAACUGGAAGGGCCGCAAGCUAUUAAAUUAAACCUCUAUGAGUUAGCUUUCCAAUGCACUUGGUUUCACCUCAUUCCGAGUUAGGAUGAGGGAGUUAUGACCAUUUUCGUAAAACCUGUCGGAGCAGAUUUGCAAAUUCCAG
rnacentral:lncRNA from 1 species